AUUCCAGCUCCAAUAGCGUAUAUUUAAGUUGUUGCAGUUAAAAAGCUCGUAGUUGGAUUUUGGGUCGGGGGUACCGGUCCGGUGUUUCACUGUGCACUGGUCUCCCCUUCCUUUCUGCCGGGGACGGCGUUUGCUCUUUACUGAGCGGCGUCGGAGUCGGCGUUGUUACUUUGAAAAAAUUAGAGUGUUCAAAGCAAGCCAUCGCUCUGAAUACAUUAGCAUGGAAUAACAUGAUAGGACUCCGGUCUUAUUUUGUUGGUUUCCGAGACUGGAGUAAUGAUUAAGAGGGACAGUCGGGGGCAUCCGUAUUUCAUUGUCAGAGGUGAAAUUCUUGGAUUUAUGAAAGACGAACCACUGCGAAAGCAUUUGCCAGGGAUGUUUUCAUUA
rnacentral:rRNA from 1 species